GGUGGGUUGUAAUCCCAUUUAUGGGGUGUGAGUCCCUUCUUUACA
rnacentral:tRNA from 1 species